AUGCUCGCUUCGGCAACACAUACACUAAAAUUGGAAUGAUACAGAGAAGAUUAGCAUGGCCCUUGUGCAAGGAAGACACGCAAAUUCAUGAAGUGUUCUAUAUAUAU
rnacentral:snRNA from 1 species